rnacentral:rRNA from 1 species
AGAGAUGCACUGGGUUUAAAGCGUGCGCAGGCGGUCUUGUAAGACAGAGGUGAAAUCCCCGGGCUCAACCUGGGAACUGCCUUUGUGACUGCAAGGCUGGAGUACGGCAGAGGGGGAUGGAAUUCCGCGUGUAGCAGUGAAAUGCGUAGAUAUGCGGAGGAACACCGAUGGCGAAGGCAAUCCCCUGGGCCUGUACUGACGCUCAUGCACGAAAGCGUGGGGAGCAAACA